CCCCCGCCCCAGCUGCACCCGCCGGGGAGCGCAGCGGGGCGGGGGCGGUUCGGCCCGAGGGGCCGGAGCCCGGACAAGGGGCCCCGAGCCCGGGCGGCCCCGCCAGCGCCACCGGGAAUGGGCCCGGCCAGGCCCCGCGGCGGCCCCGGCCCCGCAAGGAGAAGGGGGGCGGUUCACACAAUAAACACCGGAGGCUACAGCAGCGCGAAAUCGGGCCAUCAAGAGUAAUGCAGAGGGAAGAAAUGCAUGAACAGCUUUCUGGACCAUAUGGGAUGUUCCUACAGUUGAUCUACACUGCUAUUGAAGUUGCCAGGCACUGAGCUACCAAGAGAUGCACCAGUGCUGCUGAAAGCCAUCAUCUGGUUGUCAGAUGUCCUUUUCUGCAUAUCAAGCCCAUGGGAAUUGCAGGCUCUGUAUGAAAACAAGAGGCCAUGGAAAUGUUUGUUUGCCAGGCUAUUGUUUGUCCUUUUAAAGGCUGCAGACCCACUCCAUUCUUCAUGAGAAAAUGCUGGCUGCCUGAAGGACAAACCAAACUUACUAUUUAAGGCACUAAAAAUGGAAAUCAUUUAAAACAGAGCUGAUUAAAAGGAAGAAACUAUUCUUCCAAUGAGAAGAGAAAUGAAUUGCUUUCAGCUGGCCUGAGCACUGAGCUUUGCUUGCAACAAAAACCAAAUACCAGUUGCCUGAUAGUGCAAGUAUUUUGGAGGCACUUCAUCGACCAUGACUUCAGUUUUUCCUUGUGCAUGACUGCAAAACAAGUCUACUGCUCCUGCUCAUCCUGGCUUGGUGAUUUUUUUCUUUGGCUGGGCUGUUCAGAAGACAGCAAGGCUGU